rnacentral:lncRNA from 1 species
AGACAAUACUAAUUAUAGAUAAAUAGCGCGCACGCACUGUCAAGAAUAGCAUUUUAAACUAUAAAUUUCACCGCUGCUAUUCUAUAGGAUUUUUUAAAACUUUUAUAUCUUGUAUAAAAUUAUCUCCUCUUUCCACUGGUUAUCUAAACUUGGGCGGCAUCAAUCUAUAAACAAUCGAAAUUCGGCCUUAUACUUACUAAUAUGUAAGACAAUACUAAUUAAUAUAGAUACAUAGCGCGCACGCACUGUCAAGAAUAGUAUUUUAAACUAUAAAUUUCUCCGCUGCUAUUCCAUAGGAUUUUUUAAAACUUUCAUAUCUUGUAUAAAAUUAUCUCCUCUUUCCACUGGUUAUUUAAACUUGGGCGGCAUCAAUCUAUAAACAAUCGAAAUUCGGCCUUAUACUUACUAAUAUGUAAGACAAUACUAAUUAUAGAUACAUAGCGCGCACGCACUGUCUGAGUGUCAAGAAUAGCAUUUUAAACUAUAAAUUUCUCGGCUACUAUUCUAUAGAAAUUUUUAAAACUUUCAUAUCUUGUACAAAAUUAUCUUCUCUUUCCACUGCUUAUUGAAUCUUGGGCGGCAUCAAUCUAUAAACAAUCGAAAUUCGGCCUUAUACUGUAGUAAUAUGUAAGACAAUACUAAUUAUAGAUACAUAGCGCGCACGCACUGUCAAGAAUAGCAUUUUAAACUAUAAAUUUCACCGCUGCUAUUCUAUAGGAUUUUUAAAACUUUCAUAUCUUGUACAAAAUUAUCUCCUCUUUCCACUGGUUAUUGAACCUUGGGCGGCAUCAAUCUAUAAACAAUCGAAAUUCGGC